AACGAACGCUGGCGGCAGUCUUAACACAUGCAAGUCGAGCGCCCCGCAAGGGGAGCGGCAGACGGGUGAGUAACGCGUGGGAAUCUACCCAUCCCUACGGAAUAGCUCCGGGAAACUGGAAUUAAUACCGUAUACGCCCUACGGGGGAAAGAUUUAUCGGGGAUGGAUGAGCCCGCGUUGGAUUAGCUAGUUGGUGGGGUAAAAGCCUACCAAGGCGACGAUCCAUAGCUGGUCUGAGAGGAUGAUCAGGCACAUUGAGACUGAGACACGGCCCUAGCUCCUACGGGAGGCCGCAGUGGGGAAGAUUGGACAAUGGGGGCAACUCUGCUCCAGCCAUGCCGCGUGAGGUAUGAAGGCCUUAGGGUUGUAAAGCUCUUUCACCGGGGAAGAUAAUGACGGUACCCGGACAACCAGCCCCGGCUCACUUCGUGCCAGCAGCCGCAGUAC
rnacentral:rRNA from 1 species